UUGUUUUCAAACUACCGAUAGUGGAAGCUGAAUCCAAACCAUCGGUACUAUCGAUAGUACCACCGGUAGUUUGACAUCUCUACAACCUGUUUGGACUGAGAAUCUUUAUUGCAGUCAGUUAUUUUUUAUGGCAAACGACAAAAAGAAUUGAAAAAGAAUAAGGAAACCCAAAGACCAAAAAUCGAGAUGACCUCCAGUGGGAUAUCAUGUAGAUGGCCGCUCCUCUAAUCUCCUGUGGUGUCUUUCCACAAAAACCGGUGACCCAAACGAGAAGAACGCACCCGAGCUUGUGAUUCAAGAGCGUUCCAGAGCGGCUAUGCCUAUACACGGUCUUUAACAAUAUAAGAAUAUAUUUGUGUAUGUAUGUAUUUAGUAUCAAUCGAGGUGAAACCAUUCCCUCGUGGCCAAUAGCAUACCCAUAGGGUUUUUACUCUAAGAGUUGGAGCAAUACCAGAAAUUUCAUUCUAUUAUUUCUAUUAUAAAAGGCAAUGUGCAUAUACCAACAACUGGCUUCAUCUCUUUCAAAAAUUAAAAUUUGGAACGUCAACAAGAAUUAACAUUCGACAUAAUCUUUCAUCUUUUUUGGCAUAGCGACAUAAGUCCGCCGCAUAUACCAACAACUGGCUUCAUCUCUUUCAAAAAUUAAAAUUUGGAACGUCAACAAGAAUUAACAUUCGACAUAAUCUUUCAUCUUUUUUGGCAUAGCGACAUAAGUCCGCCGCCACAAUUUCGCCGAGUACAUUUGGUCCGCGAAAUUAUGGCGUUUUUUCCGGCGAUCUUAUGACGCCGAAAAGCGUAAACAUUGUAUUAUGAAAAAUUUUUUUUGGAUUUAAGUCUAGUACUCUGACGUGAAAAGUCCGCUGUCUAAAUUUUGACGGCGGACUUAUGUCGUUACCCUACUUUUUUAUAUAUUAUUCGCGUACGAAAUUGUCUGCAAAAUUUUAAAAACAAUAGGUAGCACAUAAAAGCAAAUUUGUAAGAAAAUAAUUUAAAUUAAAUUAAAUUAAUUAAAUUCAAUUAUAAUUCUUAGAAGACCUGAAGGCGAGCCCUCGGUUCUUUUUUUUCCUAUUUGAGUUGAUUCUCUGGGUCGUCUGACCAAAACAGCAUUAACGCUUGGCAUUAAAGCAUUAAAAAAUCGGUAGAGCUAAGGAAAUUAAUUUGUUAUAUUUAAAUAGAAAAAUCACCUAUUUUUUAAAUAAAAUAUUUGUUUUUCGUAUUCUAGCAUGCAAUCUGCAUAGAAACUUUGACUUUAUAUAUAUAUUUUUUUUUUUUUUUAUAUAUAUUUUUGCCGGAAACGUUUAGUGCCAUCUAAACUUUACCUGGCGUUUAAGAGGUUUAGUAAAAUAUGGUUCAUAUUCCUAUGGACCUAGAUUACUUUAUAUUUUAAGUUAAAAUUUUGAUUGGUUACAAGAAAUAUUUUUUAAAUUGGUUGUGUUGAAAACGAAUGCUCCAAAAUGUUCUAUAACGUUAUAAUAUCAUCAAAAAAGAUAACUAAUAAUGAUUAGAUUUAUUUUCUGGAAUAAAUGAAAAAAAAAAAAAAAUUUGUACAAUACGUUGUGUAUUUGAGACUGUGUAUUUACUUAACAUAAAGGUAAAUAAAAUUAUAUGAAUUAAUAAUUAAUAAAAAUGUAAAAUAUAAGGAAGUUACGCGCUACAUCUGUGUAAGGGAAAUAAACUCAAUGCUUAUCUUUAAGAAAAUUAAGUGAUACUCUAUGAUAUUUUAUAAAAAUAAAAUUAUUUCUUAGUUUUUAAACAAAUUAAUCAAAUAUCACAUUUUUAUGUCACUUGUAAAAAUAUUCCAAAUCAAUUUUUCUGUUCUUACGAAUCAAAUCUGAAAUAGAUAUUUAUAGAGAAUAGAGAAAAUGAUUUCAGCAUAUAAAAAAAUCUUCAAUGUAAUAUGGAUGUCUAUGUAAUAUCUAAUAAUUUGUCAAUUCUGUUAUGAGUUGAAUUACAUAAUUUUGUCAAAAGUA